rnacentral:sRNA from 1 species
UCACAUUUAGACCAUUUCAUCUGACAUUGAACGAGAAGCACAUUUAAUAUGAGCGAUAUGUUAGCUUUUGUUGUUGUAAUUUUUUGUGAUCUUUUUUAACAAACCCAAUGAAGUGCCAAUGUAAUAAGCUUUCUUUGGGCUAAAACAUUUUCUACAUUGAAUAGAAGAAUGGUGUUGUAUCAUGAGCUGUUCUUCUACAUGAUCUUUCUAAUUUUUUUUAAUCAAUAAUAGAAAAGAUAGUAAGGACAUUUUAUCUUGAAAUAGAAUUAUCUGACUUGAAUGAAAUUCUUUGUAUUUUGAUUACGAGCUCUUUAUUGUUGAAACGAAGUACUUGCCAAUUAUAUACCUGUUUUGAUCUUGUUGUUGUGUUUACCUGAUUUGGCUAAGAUUUUCUACUGUGGUUCAGGGCCAGUCUUCUCUUACAGCCUUCAUUGUUUUCACCAAGGGACUUACCUAUCCCUAUAUUCCACCUCAUGAUUUACUAACAAUUGAAAGUCCAAAACAUGUACCCUAUUUUAGAACUGUGAUGACUAUUUAUACCUUUUGCAUAGUUCCUUGUUCAUAAAAAUUAAUUUCAGUUAGUUUGAUAAUUGUUGUUUUUAUUUUACUAAAUCUUAUCUAAUUAUAUUUAGCAAGGCAGCAAUGAAAUGUUUAAGUUUCAUUAUUCAAUUUUCAUUUGUAAUGCACAUUUGAUUCGCUCAAUAAAAAGUUAACAC